GACGAACGCUGGCGGCGUGCUUAACACAUGCAAGUCGAACGGAAAGGCCCUUCUUUUGUGGGGUGCUCGAGUGGCGAACGGGUGAGUAACACGUGAGUAACCUUCCCUUGACUUUGGGAUAACUUCAGGAAACUGGGGCUAAUACCGGAUAGGAGCUCCUGCUGCAUGGUGGGGGUUGGAAAGUUUCGGCGGUUGGGGAUGGACUCGCGGCUUAUCAGAUUGUUGGUGUGGUAGUGGCUUACCAAGGCUUUGACGGGUAGCCGGCCUGAGAGGGUGACCGGCCACAUUGGGACUGAGAUACGGCCCAGACUACUACGCGAGGCAGCAGUGGGGAAUAUUGCACAAUGGGCGGAAGCAUGAUGCAGCAACGCCGCGCGCGGGAUGACGGCAUUCGGGUUGUAAACCGCUUUCGCCUGUGACGAAGCGUGAGUGACGGUAAUGGGUAAAGAAGCACCGGCUAACUACGUG
rnacentral:rRNA from 1 species